rnacentral:rRNA from 1 species
UACGAAGGGGCUAGCGUUGUUCGGAUUUACUGGGCGUAAAGCGCACGUAGGCGGAUCGUUAAGUCGGGGGUGAAAUCCUGGAGCUCAACUCCAGAACUGCCUUCGAUAACUGGCGAUCUUGAGUCCGGAAGAGGUGAGUGGAACUCCUAGUGUAGAGGUGGAAUUCGUAGAUAUUAGGAAGAACACCAGUGGCGAAGGCG